CAUCAUAUUCCACAAAGUGCUUUGGGAAUAAUUUAACCCAUGUUUCAUCUCCAUAAAAGAUAAUUCUUUUCCCAGCAGCUUUUGCCUGUCUUAACACAUUGUCUUCUAGGAGCACAGGAGAAUUGAGAUUCCUGAUGACAUCAACAAAGCCAGGGAGACUUCCUGUCAUCAAUGCCUGUAGAAAGAAACAUGUCAAGACUUAGAUUACAGAUCCAAAAGUAAAGCACAAGAGACAGGAAGAUCAGUUGGGGGUCAAACAGGAAGAAACCCUGCUUGUAUACAGUUCUCAAAGUGAACUGGGCCAAGAAUGUCAGCGGAACAUCAAUCACACCUACAAUACUGCACCACAUAACAGAUGGUGGCUGUGAGAUCGCCUACCUUCCUGGUUAGAGGAGAGUCAAUAUUCUCCCCCACUUUUACCACAGACCCUACAAGCCACAG
rnacentral:lncRNA from 1 species